rnacentral:rRNA from 1 species
UUNNGGGAAACUGCCUGNUGGANGNGGAUAANUACUGGAAACGGUAGNUAAUACNGCAUAACGUNGCAAGACCAAAGAGGGGGACCUUCGGGCCUCUUGCCNUCAGAUGUGCCCAGAUGGGANUAGCUUGUUGGUGGGGUAACGGCUCACCAAGGNGACGAUCCCUAGCUGGUCUGAGAGGAUGACCAGCCACACUGGAACUGAGACACGGUCCANACUCCUACGGGAGGCAGCAGUGGGGAAUAUUGCACAAUGGGCGCAAGCCUGAUGCAGCCAUGCCGCGUGUAUGAAGAAGGCCUUCGGGUUGUAAAGUACUUUCAGCGGGGAGGAAGGUGCUGUGGUUAAUAACCACAGCAAUUGACGUUACCCGCAGAAGAAGCACCGGCUAACUCCGUGCCAGCAGCCGCGGUAAUACGGAGGGUGCAAGCGUUAAUCGGAAUUACUGGGCGUAAAGCGCACGCAGGCGGUCUGUUAAGUCAGAUGUGAAAUCCCCGGGCUCAACCUGGGAACUGCAUCUGAUACUGGCAGGCUUGAGUCUCGUAGAGGGGGGUAGAAUUCCAGGUGUAGCGGUGAAAUGCGUAGAGAUCUGGAGGAAUACCGGUGGCGAAGGCGGCCCCCUGGACGAAGACUGACGCUCAGGUGCGAAAGCGUGGGGAGCAAACAGG